rnacentral:rRNA from 1 species
UACGUAGGGUGCAAGCGUUGUCCGGAAUUAUUGGGCGUAAAGAGCGUGUAGGCGGCCCGACAAGUCCGCUGUGAAAGUCCAGGGCUCAACCCUGGAAUGCCGGUGGAUACUGUCGGGCUAGAGUCCGGAAGGGGCGAGUGGAAUUCCUGGUGUAGCGGUGAAAUGCGCAGAUAUCGGAAGGAACACCGGUGGCGAAAGCGGCGCGCUGGACCUCUUCUGACGCUGAGGCGCGAAAGCCAGGGGAGCAAACGGG